CUGGAGCCAGCUUAGCAGCCAAUUCCUUUCCUGGUGGGAAUGUGGAGUUCGAAGCUGAAAACAGCUGCCUCCUUGGCUGUAGGCAGCGUGUUGCUCAGAUGGGUUGCCCCGAGGGGCUUUGAAGGCAGGU
ensembl:snoRNA LOC120096103 small nucleolar RNA SNORA70